AGUGAACGCUGGCGGUAGGCCUAACACAUGCAAGUCGAACGGCAGCACAGUAAGAGCUUGCUCUUACGGGUGGCGAGUGGCGGACGGGUGAGGAAUACAUCGGAAUCUACUUUUUCGUGGGGGAUAACGUAGGGAAACUUACGCUACUACCGCAUACGACCUACGGGUGAAAGCAGGGGAUCUUCGGACCUUGCGCGAUUGAAUGAGCCGAUGUCGGAUUAGCUAGUUGGCGGGGUAAAGGCCCACCAAGGCGACGAUCCGUAGCUGGUCUGAGAGGAUGAUCAGCCACACUGGAACUGAGACACGGCCCAGACUCCUACGGGAGGCAGCAGUGGGGAAUAUUGGACAAUGGGCGCAAGCCUGAUCCAGCCAUACCGCGUGGGUGAAGAAGGCCUUCGGGUUGUAAAGCCCUUUUGUUGGGAAAGAAAAGCAGCAGGUUAAUACCCCGCUGUUCUGACGGUACCCAAAGAAUAAGCACCGGCUAACUUCGUG
rnacentral:rRNA from 1 species